rnacentral:rRNA from 1 species
AAACUUAAAGGAAUUGACGGGGCCGCACAAGCGGUGGAGCAUGUGGUUAAUUCGACGCAACGCGAAGAACCUUACCAGGGCUUGACAUCCCCUGACCGCGUAUGAAAGUACGUUUUCACCCUCGGGUGACAGGGAGACAGGUGGUGCAUGGUUGUCGUCAGCUCGUGUCGUGAGAUGUUGGGUUAAGUCCCGCAACGAGCGCAACCCCUACGUUUAGUUGCUAACGCGUGAAGGCGAGCACUCUAGACGAACUGCCGUUGACAAAACGGAGGAAGGUGGGAUGACGUCAAAUCAUCAUGCCCCUUAUGUUCUGGGCUACACACGUGCUACAAUGGCCGGUACAGACGGACGCAAAGCCGCGAGGCGGAGCAAAUCCGAAAAAGCCGGUCUCAGUUCGGAUUGCAGGCUGCAACUCGCCUGCAUGAAGUCGGAAUCGCUAGUAAUCGCAGGUCAGCAUACUGCGGUGAAUACGUUCCCGGGCCUU